rnacentral:rRNA from 1 species
AGAGUUUGAUCAUGGCUCAGGAUGAACGCUAGCGGCAGGCCUAACACAUGCAAGUCGAGGGGUAACAGGAAAGCUUGCUUUCGCUGACGACCGGCGCACGGGUGCGUAACGCGUAUGCAACCUACCUCAUACUGGAGGAUAGCCCCUGGAAACGGGGAUUAAUACUCCAUAGUAUCACGAAUUCGCAUGUUNUUGUGAUUAAAGUUUUUCGGUAUGAGAUGGGCAUGCGUCCCAUUAGCUUGUUGGUGAGGUAACGGCUCACCAAGGCAACGAUGGGUAGGGGGCCUGAGAGGGUGGUCCCCCACACUGGUACUGAGACACGGACCAGACUCCUACGGGAGGCAGCAGUGAGGAAUAUUGGUCAAUGGAGGCAACUCUGAACCAGCCAUGCCGCGUGAAGGAUGACGGCCCUAUGGGUUGUAAACUUCUUUUAUAGAGGAAGAAACUUGUCUACGUGUAGACAACUGACGGUACUCUACGAAUAAGGAUCGGCUAACUCCGUGCCAGCAGCCGCGGUAAUACGGAGGAUCCAAGCGUUAUCCGGAUUCAUUGGGUUUAAAGGGUCCGUAGGCGGGUCUUUAAGUCAGUGGUGAAAGCCGACAGCUCAACUGUCGAACUGCCAUUGAUACUGGAGACCUUGAGUACNAAUGAAGUANGCGGAAUGAGUCAUGUAGCGGUGAAN